rnacentral:rRNA from 1 species
UACAGAGGUCCCAAGCGUUGUUCGGAUUCACUGGGCGUAAAGGGCGCGUAGGUGGUUUGAUAAGGGUGUGGUGAAAGUCCGGGGCUCAACCCCGGAUCUGCCGUGCCGACUGUCAAACUCGAGGGCUGUAGAGGCAGACGGAAUUCCGGGUGUAGCGGUGGAAUGCGUAGAGAUCCGGAGGAAGACCGGUGGCGAAGGCGGUCUGCUGGGCAGUUUCUGACACUGAGGCGCGACAGCGUGGGGAGCAAACAGG